rnacentral:rRNA from 1 species
UGAUCACUGGCUCAGAAUAGCUUUCCUACUGGGUUAGCGGCGGACGGGUGAGUAUCACGUGAGUAACCUGCCCUUGACUCUGGGAUAAUCCCGGGAAACUGGGUCUAAUACCGGAUAUUACCAUUCCCCGCAUGAUGUGCGGAAGGAAAGAUUUUUUCGCUCUUGGAUGGACCCACGGCCUAUUAGCUAGACGGUGAGGUAAAGGCUCACCCACACCGAUGACGGGAUGCCUACCUGACAUGGUGACCGGCCCCACUGGGAUGGAACCACGGCCCAGACUCCACUCGGAGGGGAGGUUGGGGAAUAUUGUCUUUGGGCUGGACCAUGAUGCGACGACGCCACGUGCCGGAUGAGGGCCUUGUUUUUGUAAACCACUUUCCUGUUGGAAGAAUCUUUCGUGACCAUACCUGCCUAAUAGCACCCUGCCAAUACCUUGCCAGCAACCCCCGUAAUACUUAGGGCCCGCGCCUUAUCUAGAAUUAAUGGGGUUACCGAGCUCCUGAGCUGCUUGUCGUAUCUGCCGUGAAAGCCCGUGUCUUAAUCCCAGGUGUGCACUGCCUACUGGCAAGCUAAAGUGCAUUAGGGGAUACUGGAAUUCCUUGUGUAACAGUAAAAUGCACUUAUAUCUGUAGCA